GCCAGCAUGGCAUAGUGGUUUGAGUGCUGGACUAUAACUCUGGAGACCAAGGUUCGAUUCACUGCUCAGCCA
rnacentral:tRNA from 1 species